CAACUCCGAGGCUGGUGAACAAACAGGUGUUGCUACCUUGGAGCCCACGGAACUCCUGCUUUCUUGCUGACCCUGAAAUCUGAGGGAAAUGAAGACCUUAAGCAUCACAUCUUGCAACCUGAAUAUUCCAUCUAUCGGAAAAGACACCUCCAGAAGGGCUCUCUUCAACCUCGCUGGAAAGGCCCCUAUCAGGGAAAUGUUAUGAUCGUCCAGGAAAAUGACGUUAGAUGCGAGCUGCCUGGAGGGGUUAGUUCUGUGCAGGGGAAGGAGUCCUACACAGCGUGCCCUGCACCCAUGCCUGGCUGCGCCUAACCAGUGAGACUGGUCCACUAGCUACUGGAUGAAGGAAGACUCCCAAGGGCU